rnacentral:misc_RNA from 1 species
UUUCCAUAGGUGAACCUGCGGAAGGAUCAUUGUCGUGACCCUGACCAAAAUAGAACAUGCAUGACAGACCGCGCACGCGUCAUCCAAUCCACCGGCGAUGGCACCGUCCGUCGUUCGGCCAAGUCCUUGACCACCUCCCCUCCUCGGAGUGGGGGCUCAGGGCAAAAGAACCCACUGCGCCGAAGGCGUCAAGGAACACUAUGCCUAACCCAGGGGCAUGGCUAGUUUCCUAGUCCUCCCCCGUGUUGCAAUGCUAUUUAAUCCACAUGACUCUCAGCAAUGUAUAUCUCAGCUCUC